rnacentral:tRNA from 1 species
GGGAGCGUGGUGGAAUGGUAGACACAAAGCACUUAAAAUGCUUUGGCUCAAAAGGCCGUGAGGGUUCAAAUCCCUCCGUUCCCA